UGGAAGUCCUUUCACCCUCUUAUAGACUGGUACAGCCCCAAUCCCAUGCACCUUCAAUGCUGCGCCCACUUUACAGCUCCUCAGCUCCUCUGAUAAAGAUUCUUAUGAUCUUUUGGUGUGAUCCUUGUCGGUGUAUGUUGGGGAAAGUGAGUAAGCUAUGUUUAGCUGGCCGCCAUGCUUACCUGGAAGUUGUUGGAGUCUAUUUUUUAAUCCACUCCACUAUCCUCUUCUGUUUUCUGGGCAAGUUCAUCCCAUUCACAUUCAUAGUUAUGAUUAUUAAUUGUGUAUUCCCCUCCAUCUUAUUUUUCCUUUUUGAUCCUGCUCUUUUUCUCUUUCAUUCUGUCCCUCUUCACAUGUGUUUUGCUUUUAAUCACCACUUCCUACUUUCCUCUCCCUUCUAUUACCCAUCUCCCCUUGCCUUAUUCCCCUCCUGCUUAUAUAAGGUAGGAGUCUCUACCCAAAGGAAUACAGUUUUUAUUUUCCCUCUGGGCCAAUUAUGAUAAGAGUAAGGUUUAAGCAUCACCUGUCACCACCCUCAACCUCCCCUCCACUGUAAUAGGAUUUUUUUGUGCUGCUUUAGGUGAGAUAAUUCAUUCUCUUCUACCUCUCCCUUUAACUUUUUUUUUAACAUAUCAUGUAAUCCUAAUCAAUUUACUCCUGUAUCCACUGUCUGUGUAUAUACUCUUUCUAACUGCUCUAAUAAUGAUAACAAUUUUAUCAUCUUUAUCACCUCACUCUCAGAGCUAGAUAAGAUAAAUUAUCAUCUUUCCAUGUAGGAAUAUAAACAGUUUGACCUUUUGGAAUCCUUUAAAUUUUCUCUUUCUUAUUUAACUUUUUAUGCUCCUCUUGAGUUUUGUAUCUGAACAUCAAAUUUUCUGUUUAGGCCUGGUCUUUUCAUUAGGAAUGCUUGGAAAAUUGUAAAUUUUGUUAAAUGACCAUUUUUCCUCCCUCAUAGAAUAUACUUGGUUUUGCUGGAUAGGUGAUUCUGGGUUGUAAACCUAGAUCUUUUGCCUUCUGAUAUAUCAUAUUUCAAGUCUUCUAGACCUUUAAUGUUAAGGCUGCUAAGUUCUGUGUCAUACUGACUGUAGCUCCAUGGCAUUUGGAUUGUUUCUUUCUGGCUGUUUGCAGUAUUUUCUCCUUGGCCUGGUAAUUCUUGAAUUUGGCUGUAAUAUUCCUAGGAGUUGUCAUCUGGGGAUUUAUUUCAGGAGGUAAUUGGGUUUUAGAUUUCUAUUUUACUCUCCUAUUUAAGAAAAUCAGGGCAGUUUCCUUUGAUAAUUUCUUUUAAUAUGAUGUCAAGGAUUUUUUUUUUUUUGAUCAUGGCUUUCAGGUAGUCUAAUGAUUCUUAGAUUGUCCCUCAUGGAUCUAUUCUCCAACUCAGUUAUUUUUCCAAUGAGAAUAGUAUACAUUAUUUCAUUCUUUUGAUUUUGUUUUAUUGUUUCUUUAUGUCUUAUGAAGUCAUUAUCUUCUACUUGCCUAAUUCUAAUUUUUAAGGAAUUAUUUUUUCCUGUGAGCUUUUUUGAACCUUCUUUUCCAUUUGGCCAAUUCUGCUUUUUAAGGUGUUAUUUUUUUCUUGUAUUGCUUUCAUGUCAACUCUCCAUUUUCUCUCUGCCUCUUUUAUUUGAUUUUUGAAAUCAUUUUUGAGGUCUUCCAGAGUCGGAGGCCAAUUUAUGUUUUUCUUUUUAUGUAGCUUCUUUGAUCUUACCAUCCUUUCCUGAGUCUAUGCUUUGUUUUGCUUUUUCUCCAAAAUAAUUUUCUAUGCUUAGGGUUUUUUUUUUUUAUGUUUGCUCAUUUUCUCAGCCUUUUUCUCAAUUUUUAUUUUUAUCUUAAAGAAUGGGCUCUAUUCUCAGGAUAGAGGGGGUAUAUUCUUAAACUUCAGUUUUUCCUUGCUUCUACCCUCAUUUCUAGUUCUGGGUUUCUGUAAGUUUCAGUUCUUCUAAGGUGGUAUGAUAGCCUGUGGACUGGGAGCUCUAAAAGCCACCUCCCACUGUUGAUUCCAUCUUCCCCAGGGAUUGCUGAUGGCUUGCAGGGCUCAGAGCACUGUGAGCUACCUUGUGCUGGGGCUCCGAGUUUCACCUCAGGCUUGGGCAGGGGCUCUGGGCCUCACUUUGUGCUUACUCACCAAGUACAUUGUGGAACGAUGGCCUUGUGCUGGGGUUCAGGUCCUCACUGCAAGCUUGGGCAGGGGCUCUGGGCCCUCCAUUGGAUUUUCACCAGCUAAGCACACUGUGGACUGCAUUAUGCUAGGGCUUAUGGCCUCAUUAUAGGCUUGGACUAGGGCUUAGAAUUUCAAGGGAUAGGCAUAGGGUGCUCUGCUGUUGUUUUGGGUGGGGUCUCAGGGUCUUGAAGUUGGCUUGAGCUAAGGUUCAGAACCUGGAGCAGCAGGCAGGGGUGGAGUGGCUUAUUGUUAGCUUGAAUGGUACUCCUUGGUGCUGCCUUGCUUGUGGGGUGUUCUUACCUCUCCUUACAGUGAAACCCAUGGGCCCUCUCUGCCUACCUUCCAGGUUGUUUUCUCCAGGAAAAUUCCCUUACUCUUUCCCCUUAUUUGUUCUGUCAUUCCAGUAUUCAUUUCAUAAGGUUGGCUAGAGAAGAUUCUCAGAGAGGCUCAAGUUUUCCUUCUUUCUACUCUGCCUCUAAAAUGUUCCAGUUAGAACUGGAUACUGGAGUGGUUUUCCAUUUCCUCUCCAGCUUAUUUUACAGGUGAGGAAACUGAGGCUAAUUGGGUUAAGUGAUUUACACAACUAGUAAGUGUCUGAGACAAGAUUUGGAUUUAGGAAGAUGAUUCUUCCUGACUCUACCCACUGAGCUGCCCCUAAAAAUAAUGCUUGCUAAAUGUGCUUGUUGUUCAGUUGUAUCCAAUUCCCUUUUAGGUUUUCCUCAGCAAAGAUGCUGUAGUGGUGGCCAUUUCCUUCUCCAGCUCAUUUUACAGCAGUAAGUGCCGGAGGCUGGAUUUGAACUCAGGUCUUCUGGCUCCAGGCCUCUGUCUACUGUGCCACCUAGCCACCACUUAAAUACCACAAAGUUAAAAUUCCUCACAUUGGUGAGUCACAAACUCUUGCUCAGCUAGAAUCAGGCAGGGAGUCUGUGCACAUGCUCUGUUCAGUCCCUUUUAUUCAUUUAAAGAGCACCAGGAAAGAUUUAGGUUAGACAACUGAGAAAACAGGACGGGGAAGUAUUAGAACAGUUUCUAGAGAAAAUGCCAGGCCACCCCACUGAAUGAAGUCAGGGAAAUCCUAUCUGGAAGCAGAACAGAGACGCUCAUCAUCUCUUGGGGGUUCUUCGGUAUACAGGAGAUGGGGCCCUCAUUCUUGUCCAAAUGCAAUUCAUUCCAGCCUUCCUUAUUGUGGAUCUCAUUUGCUGAUGUGUGGUUUGUUAUUCCAAGGCCUCUGACUUCAGAGUUAGCUUUUUUGCUUCAAAGCCUGGCUGAAGCCUAGCAGGAGAGGAGGCUUUGUUCUAUUGAUCUUUAUUUUUUUAAGCGAGAAAAAUAUUCCCGUCUUUUGCUUUUAUAUCAUCUCCGUUUCUCACUGCGCCCACCUCAGGGAACCAGGUCUUAUAAUCAAGAAUAAUAAGGGAAAGAAAGGGGUGAAAAAGCUCCCCCAAAUUAACCCCAAAGUCUGAGUUAUAUUUGACAUUCCUGCUUUCCUCUGCCAAGAGACAAUGGGAACCCUUCUUGUGCUUUUUCUUGGGGACAGGUUUGGCCGUUAACAUUCAGAUGUAGUUGUUUGCACUAUUGUAAUCAUUGAGUAUAUCGUUUUUCUGCUUUGGCUUACUUCCCUUUGGAUAAAUUCAUGUUAGUUUCCCCCUGAUGCUUUGCCUUCACUAUGCUCAUCCUUUGUUUAGCAAGACGUUUGAAGUUAAAGGCGGAAGAAAGGACAUUUCCAUAUAGACAACAGAAUACAGAAAGAUCAUAUAUGAAAUGAUGAAAUCUCCACUUCAGACCACUUCUUAAAAAUAUAUUUAUAUGUGUGCGUGUGUUUAUAUGUGUGAGUAUAUAUGUAUAUGUACACACACAAAAUUCUGCAAAUUACUUUCACAGAUAUUUUGCUGUUUCUCUGCUGUCUUCCAAACUUCUUUUCUUUUCUGCUUUAUGUUGUUAAAAUAUUUCAGUGGCCCAUUUCUUUAUUAUUAUUGUUGUUGCUAAUUCCACCCUCUCCCCAAUCUCCCCUUUUUCCCAAUUAAAAAACAAGAAAAGAAAGAGACAUCCUUGUAACAAAUUUAAUCCCACAAAGCAAAACUACGCAGGCACCACUGCUAAAAAUAGGUCUCUCUCUGUACCCUGCAUCCAUUACCUCUCUGAUAGGAAAGGAAGUAAAGUAUCUUCCUCGGUUCCCCUGGAGAUAGAGCUGGUCAUUCCUUUGAUCAGGGGUGUUUCAGAGUUGUUUUUCUUGCUUUAUUUUUUAACCCUUACGUUUUGACAGUAACAACUCCUAAGGCCAGGCAAAAAUGACUUGCCCAGGGUAACACUGCUAGGAAGUGGCUGAGGCAUAUUCUCGCCUCUUAAAUACUCAUUCUUCCCUGGGAGAGUAAGCUCAAAGCUAAACUGGCGGCUACAAAAUAGCCUUAAAACCAAGACGAGUCCCUCAUAGCGCUUAGCAGAGAGAUACAGGCCGUGCUAUCUCAGUCUCUGCUUCGGGGUCAGUUCACUGUUGGGCUGGUUAGUUAAGGGGACCUUGGGUGGUUCUCCUUCCAUUCUGCAGCCUUCACGGUCAGGCCCUGGGUUUUGGUGGGCUUUGUUUUUGGAUCUCGGGGCUCAGUUACCCAAGAUCAGGAAGGGGAGACAAGAGCCGAGGCCCCAGUGUCAGACGCGGGGGUCGGGGUCCCGGAGACGUGGCAGCCGCUGCUUUCUCCCCCGCCACAAGGCCCAGAACAUUUUUUCCUUACUCAGAAGCGGGGAGGGAAGGACGGUGAAACGUGGUCCUUCAGACACUGUCUGCCCACUCAAUUCUGGUUCAGGAUCCAAGGACCAGACUCGCAUUGCCAUAAGAGAAGCUGCGGGGAACAGUCGUAGGAUACGCUCCGAAGGGAGAGGGAAAAGGUCCCUCCACGUGAAACUCGGGACGCAGUUUCCUUCAGCUUCCAAAUGCACAGUCAGAUAUUGUCUACACGCGAAGGACUGAGCCGCUCCCUUUAAAGCGUGUUUCUGUAGUUUUUUUGGUCGUUGAUAGCCUUAGGCUUUGUGCCUCGCAAGAAUACCAAUUGCUUAAAAUAAAAGCAACAACAACAACAAGCUUGACUUUCUGCCUUAGGACCAAUUCUGAGAGAGAAGGGCAAGGCUAGGCCGCUGAGGUUAAGAGACUUGGCCAGGGGGACACAGCUAGGAAAUGUCUGAGGCCUCUGUCCACUGUGCUGCCCUCCGCAGAUGACUACUAGCAAUGGUGGCCUUCAUUCACAGCUCCGUCAUCUUUUUCUACAUCCAUGGCCUAUUGCUGUUUUCUGUCGUCUUUGCCCAUUUGUCGGGUGUGAGAGGGGCCCUCAGGGUUUGGGGUUUCAUGCUUAAAGCUAGGUUCAUUCGACACGGGCCAAGUGAAGGGUUGGCUUCCUUCCACCUCUCCUUCCAAUGCAGCUUUAUUUUCGUCUUACAUUGUUGUUACUUUCUUGUUAGGGUAGCAUCUCCACCCAGCGCUGGGCCAGCUGAACCGAGAGAUCCUUGCAGCAGGAGGGCAAGAAAAGGACUUCUGUUCUUCCAGAGUGUACUCUUCUUCAUUCAUCCAUGGAAGAACUAUUGGUUAUGCCAGAAUCAGAAGCCAAUUCAGGACAGAGGUGAGGAAAACUUGGCUGAACACGAGAGUUACCUCGAAGCGGGGUGGCCUUUAAGAGUGACGGUCCGUAUCCCUUCCUGCCUUGCCUCAGGAAGAAGCGGAACCAUCCUCGCCUGGAGAGGAGCCCAGAGCUCCCUUUGCUUUCUCAGUCCGUGGUUCCGGGGAAGUCUGGCAUAUCUCGUAGACCAAGAGGCCACGUUCCUUUCUAUAUACAGAAGGGCCUAUGAGGCAGGAAGAGUGACAAGUAAAAUGGAGAAGUAAUUUGUGUCACAGAUGGGGAGAAACAGGAAAAAGAGCCUUAGCCACUUGAUGGUGCUAUAACCCACAGAACCCACGGAUACGGCCUCUGGGAGCUGCCUUAGCCAGGCUCCCAGCAUCCAGCAGAGGCAGAGAAAGGUUGGAGAAGGGAGGAGUUCUCAUGACAGCCAGCUGUCACCACCAGUGAACAUACUACCAGGUGUCUUUCAAUAAAAAUAUCUUGAUGAAGGCUUGAAAGUGCUAAUAGAGUAGCUUCAACUGACACAGGCUUUCCAAUCAAAUCCAGAGAAAUGUCUCCUGAUCAAAUAGGAUCCUGGACAUAGAGUGCUUUAGAAAGGGUCCCUGAGUAGGGGGAGCACUGGCUGGCCUUUACACAUCAAAUGUAUAAAGAUUUGCUUCAUCCUGAAUCCCCCUUGGCUCCUGAGCCUCAUUGACUUAGGAAGCUCCCUGCCAAAGAAACAAGAUUAAAGAUUAAAGAAAGCCCCGCUGCCAAGUCUAUAAAACAAAAUCUCCUCUCAUCCACCUGUCUACCAGAGCUGCCAUGUCAAAGCAGACUCCUAAGUCUCUCCGGGAUCUGGGCAGGCAUACUCAGAAAAAUGAAAGUAGGAAGAAUUGUCUGGAACUGUCUGUGUUAUCUAAGACCAUUUCUCUGCAAACAUGCUCCUUUCCUUCACUCUUGGGUAAAUGUUUCUCCAAAAUAUGCUUCCAAACAACUUUAGCAAAGUUGCAGGAUACAAAAUAAAUCCACAUAAAUCAUCAGCAUUUCUAUAUAUCUCCAACACAUCUCAGCAGCAAGAAUUAGAAAGAGAAAUCCCAUUCAAAAUCACCCUAGAUAGAUGGACCAUUGAUCCACGAUUUUAUUUCUUAGUAGCAGAUUGUUUUGAUGAUUACUGCUUUAUGAUACAGUUUGAAAUCUGGUACUGCUCAGCCACCAUCCAUCACAUUUUUUCUUCAUUAAUCCUCUUGAUAUUCAUGACCUUUUGUUCUUCUGGAUGAAUUUUGUUUUUAUUAUUUUUUCUAGUUCUAGAAAAUAUUUUGGAAGUUUGAUUGAUUGAUUGCUUGGCACUGAAUAAAGUAAAUGGAUUUAGGGAAAAAAUGAAAUAAAAUAAAAUCACCCUAGACAAAAUAAAAUACUUAGGAAUCUAUCUGCAGAGACAAACAAAGGAACUAUAUGAACAUAACUAUAAAACAUUCUCCACACAAUUAACACUAGAUCUAAUCAACUGGAAAAACAUUAACUGCUCAUGGGUAGGACAAUAUAACAUAACAAAAAUGACAAUCCUACCCAAAUUAAUUUACUUAUUUAGUGCCAUACCUAUCAAACUACCAAGAAACUUUUUUACUGAAUUAGAAAAAAAACAUAACAAAGAUCAUUUGGAAGAACAAAAGAUCAAGGAUAUCCAGGGAAAUAAUGAAAAAAAAAUACAAAGGAAGGUGGCCUUGCAGUCCCAGAUCUCAAACUAUACUAUAAAGCAGCAGUCAUCAAAACAAUAUGGUACUGGCUAAGAGAUAGAGAGGAGGACCAGCAGAAUAGACUUGGGGUAAGUGACUUCAGCAAGACAGUCUGUGAUAAACCCAAAGAUCCCAACUUUUUGGGACAAAAAUUCACUAUUUGACAAAAACUGCUGGGAAAAUUGGAAAACAGUGUGGGUGAGAUUAGGUUUAGUUCAACACUUUACAACCUACACCAAGAUAAACUCAGAAUGGGUGAAUGACUUGAAUAUAAAGAAGGAAACUAUAAGCAAAUUAGGUGAACACAGAAUAGUAUACCUGUCAGAUCUUUGGGAAAGGAAAGAUUUCAAGACCAAGCAAGAGUUAGAAAAAAUUACAAAAUGUAAAAUAAAUAAUUUUGAUUACAUUAAAUUAAAAUGGUCUUGUACAUACAAAACCAAUGCAACCAAAAUUAGAAGGGAAGCAACAAAUUGGGGGAAAAUCUUUAUAACCAAAACCUCCAAUAAAAGUCUAAUUACUCAAAUAUAUAAGGAGCUAAAUCAAUUGUACAAAAAAUCAAGCCAUUCCCCAAUUGAUAAAUGGACAAGGGACAUGAAUAGGCAAUUUUGAGAUAAAGAAAUCUAAAGUAUUAAUAAGCACAUGAAGAAGUGUUCUAAAUCUCUUAUAAUCAGAGAGAUGCAAAUCAAAACAACUCUGAGGUAUCCCCUCACACCUAGCAGAUUGGCUAACAUGACAGCAACAAGCAAUGAGUGCUGGAGGGGAUGUGAUAAAGUUGGGACAUUAAUUCAUUGCUGGUGGAGUUGUAAAUUGAUCCAAACGUUCUGGAGGGCAAUUUGGAACUAUGCCCAAAGGGCGAUAAAAUACUGUCUGCCCUUUAAUCCAGCCAUAGCACUGCUGGGUUUGUACCCCAAAGAAAUAAUAAGGGAAAAGACUUGUACAAGAUAUUCAUAGCUGCACUCUUUGUGGUAGCAAAAAAAUUGGAAAAUGAGGGCAUGCCCUUUGAUUGAGGAAUGAACAUUAAUUUAAAUCUUACAUUGGGGAGCAGGUGAUGUCCCUCAUGCCUGGAUGGCAUUUCCUCUUUACCUCCCUGCUCUAUCCUCUUAGAAUCUUUAGCUUCCUUUAAGACCCAGCUGCUACUUAUUUCUCUUCCUGAUCUUUUCAUUUACUAAUGUUCUCUCCCUCCUCAAAUAGCCUUGAUUUGGACUUAUCCAAAUGUAGUUAAAAAUAUACAAUAGAAUGGAAACUUCUUGAGGGCAGAGACAUUUUUAAAAUCCCCAAUGCCUAGUUCAGUGAUUUGAAUAUAUUAAGUGCUUAAUAAAUAAUUUUUUACUUGAAAUCAUCACAUGAACUAGAGUGCAAGUUUUAAGACUCAAAGUGAAUAUUAACAGGUAGGUAGGGAGGCAGCUAUGUAGUUCAGUGGAUAGAGAACCAGUUCUAGAGAUGAGCUGCCACAGGAUCAAAAUCAGAUACUUCUUAGCAGUGUGACCCUGGGCAAGUCACUUAACAGCAAUGGUCUUGCCUAGCCCUUGCUAUUCUGCCUUGAAGCCAAUACUUAGUAUUGGUUCUACGGCAGAAGAUGAGAGUUUAAAAGUUAAAAAAUACACACAUAUGGGUCGUCAUUUUCUUAUUCCUUAUCCUAGCUUGGGGUGAGAGGAGUGUCUACGCUAAAUUUAUCAUAAAUGACUUUUAAAAUAUAGGUGCUUUUUGCCACAUAAGUAAGAUACCAUGUUCAUACUUUGUGUCAAACAAAAAAGCCCUCAUAACUCUGAAUACCAUGCUUCACUUGCCAAGUGCUUUUAACUUGUUCAAAGUUCUUUCACGUUUCUAAUGUUAGUUAUUUUAUAUUUAAAAAUUUACAUUUGAUCUGGCUGAACCUGCCCUUUGCCAGUUAUCCUCAUUUUGCAGAAGAAAAGGUACGUGGAAGGUAAUUCAUAGCCCACUGGACAAAAAUAUCUGUAGCAGCUCUUUUUGUGGUGGCUGAGAACUAGAAACUAAGGAAGUCCUAUCCAUUGGGGAAUGGUGUAGGAAUAUGAUGAAAUAGAAUUAAAAAAUGAUAAAAGAGAAAUCUGGGAAGAUUUGUACACAAGAAUUCAAAAUGAAGCUAGAAGGGCCAGGAGGACAGUUUAUACUGAAAGAGUACAUUGUCAAAUCAAGCAACUUCAAAAGACUUAAGAACGCUGAUCAACAGAAUGACCAACCGUUCUGGAGGCCCAAGAACGAAGAAAUGCUACCUGUAAAUGGACUCAGUAUGCAGAAUGAGACACAUUUUUGGUCAUGGCCAAUGCAGGGUUUUGGUUUUUUUUUCCUUUACCACAUACAUUUGUUAAAAGGGCUUUGUUUUCCAGAUCAAAUUGCUUGCCAGCUCCAGAAUUGGGGAGGAAAGGAAAAAAGAAGACAGUUUGGAUUUUAAAAUUCUGGAAAACUUAUGUGGAUGUUCGUUAUUACAUGUAAUAAUAAAAAAAUAGAAAUAGUAAAA